rnacentral:antisense_RNA from 1 species
GGAAAGAGUAAACAAAACCAGGAAAGUAAUCCACUGAUAAAACGCCAAGUGAUGUUGUUCUGCGGAGCCAGAGUGGGGCCACCUGGGCACAAUUCUCCCACAAAGGAGCCAACUCUACUGGGGCUGAGACCAAGAGCCAUCUGGACUCCCAGGCCAGCCCCAGAGCAUUGAGCAGCGGGUUAGGAUACUUAAGGAGAGGCAAGUCAGGCAAGAAGCAGAAAGACAGGAAAUGGAGAGAUAGGAAGCAGAGAGACAGGAAGUGGAGGGACAGGAAGUGGAGAAUCCAGCAGGGGCCAAUGUUGGACAACACUCCUUUGCCAGCUGUGCUCCCCAUGCAACGGGAUGAGGAGAUUUUAAGCCUCUACCAGAAAAACUCAAAUCUGGAGAUAAUUUAAUUUUUCCUGGGUCUCUGCCAGCCAUCUCCAGAGUUUUGUCAAAUUUUCCACCUACUUCCUCUGUGUGUGGAAACUCAGCCUCCAUUUUAGAACUCCAUUCCCAACAGUGGUUCUGCACCCCCACCCAUGUUUUUUUUUGUUUGUUUGUUUGUUUGUUUUUGGUUAUCCUGGAGGUUUUGUGGAUUAAGAUGUGUGAGAUGAGGGGUUUAUAGGGACUGGCUGGAGGUAUGCCCCCCCUUCCACCCACACACCCACACACACAUACACACGCACACGCUGUUGUGCAGAAGAUGUUUCUUGGGUGGCUGAGCAAAGAAUCAGGUAUUUGGAUGUCCUGAUUUGACCCUGAGAAAAAUAGCAGCCAUCCACAGAGCCCUGAAACAUACUUCCCACUGCUUGGAAUGGCAGCUCCUCCUCAGAAUACAAGCAAGGAAACGUGUGGCAUCUGGCUACCAUGAGCUGAAGACAAAGCCUACAUGGGGAAAAGUGCAAAACCAGGAGAAUGGGAGAGAAAUGGAGCCACACACUGAUGCUGUUGUGAAACAUCUCAAUCAAACUGCACCUGAAGACCGCCCUAUCCCUGCAUUUUUCAUUUACAUGAGCCAAUAAACUCUCUCAUUUAAGUCAA